rnacentral:rRNA from 1 species
UGAUCCUGGCUCAGAUUGAACGCUGGCGGUAUGCUUAACACAUGCAAGUCGAACGGAAACGAUACUAGCUUGCUAGUAGGCGUCGAGUGGCGGACGGGUGAGUAACGCGUAGGAAUCUGCCUGAUAGUGGGGGAUAGCCCGGAGAAAUUCGGAUUAAUACCGCAUAAUCUAUUCGUAGUAAAGUGGGGGACUUUCGAGCCUCACGCUAUCAGAUGAGCCUGCGUAAGAUUAGCUAGUUGGUAGGGUAAAAGCCUACCAAGGCGACGAUCUUUAGCUGGUCUGAGAGGAUGAUCAGCCACAUCGGGACUGAGACACGGCCCGAACUCCUACGGGAGGCAGCAGUGGGGAAUAUUGGACAAUGGGGGCAACCCUGAUCCAGCAAUACCGCGUGUGUGAAGAAGGCCUGAGGGUUGUAAAGCACUUUCAAUUGUGAAGAAAAGUUAGCGGUUAAUAACCGUUAGCCUUGACGUUAACUUUAGAAGAAGCACCGGCUAACUCCGUGCCAGCAGCCGCGGUAAUACGGAGGGUGCAAGCGUUAAUCGGAAUUACUGGGCGUAAAGCGUGCGUAGGCGGUUUAUUAAGUCAGAUGUGAAAGCCCCGGGCUUAACCUGGGAACUGCAUUUGAAACUGGUAAACUAGAGUAUGGUAGAGGAAAGUGGAAUUUCUGGUGUAGCGGUGAAAUGCGUAGAUAUCAGAAGGAACAUCAAUGGCGAAGGCAGCUUUCUGGACCAAUACUGACGCUGAGGUACGAAAGCGUGGGAAGCAAACAGGAUUAGAUACCCUGGUAGUCCACGCCGUAAACGAUGAUAACUAGCCGUUGGGGGGAUUUACCCUUUAGUGGCGAAGCUAACGCGUUAAGUUAUCCGCCUGGGGAGUACGGCCGCAAGGUUAAAACUCAAAUGAAUUGACGGGGACCCGCACAAGUAGUGGAGCAUGUGGUUUAAUUCGAAGAUACGCGCAGAACCUUACCAACACUUGACAUGUUCGUCGCGACUUUAAGAGAUUAAAGUUUUCGGUUCGGCCGGACGAAACACAGGUGCUGCAUGGCUGUCGUCAGCUCGUGUCGUGAGAUGUUGGGUUAAGUCCCGCAACGAGCGCAACCCUCACUUUUAGUUGCCAUCAUUAAGUUGGGCACUCUGAAAGAACUGCCAGUGAUAAGCUGGAGGAAGGUGGGGAUGACGUCAAGUCCUCAUGGCCCUUACGUGUUGGGCUACACACGUGCUACAAUGGUAUCUACAACAGGAAGCAAGACGGCGACGUUAAGCAAAUCCUUAAAAGAUACCUCAGUUCGGAUUGCACUCUGCAACUCGAGUGCAUGAAGCUGGAAUUACUAGUAAUCGUGGAUCAGCGUGCCACGGUGACUGCGUUCCCGGGUCUUGUACACACCGCCCGUCACACCAUGGGAGUUGGUUCUACCUUAAGGCAAGGUUUUAAACCCUUGACCACGGUAUAGUCAGCGACUGGGGUGAAGUCGUAACAAGGUAACC